rnacentral:piRNA from 1 species
UAACUCACCACAAAGAACUCAAAAGG